AAAUUGAAGAGUUUGAUCAUGGCUCAGAUUGAACGCUGGCGGCAGGCCUAACACAUGCAAGUCGAGCGGUAGCACAGAGAGCUUGCUCUCGGGUGACGAGCGGCGGACGGGUGAGUAAUGUCUGGGAAACUGCCUGAUGGAGGGGGAUAACUACUGGAAACGGUAGCUAAUACCGCAUAACGUCGCAAGACCAAAGUGGGGGACCUUCGGGCCUCAUGCCAUCAGAUGUGCCCAGAUGGGAUUAGCUAGUAGGUGGGGUAACGGCUCACCUAGGCGACGAUCCCUAGCUGGUCUGAGAGGAUGACCAGCCACACUGGAACUGAGACACGGUCCAGACUCCUACGGGAGGCAGCAGUGGGGAAUAUUGCACAAUGGGCGCAAGCCUGAUGCAGCCAUGCCGCGUGUGUGAAGAAGGCCUUCGGGUUGUAAAGCACUUUCAGCGGGGAGGAAGGCGGUGAGGUUAAUAACCUCAUCGAUUGACGUUACCCGCAGAAGAAGCACCGGCUAACUCCGUGCCAGCAGCCGCGGUAAUACGGAGGGUGCAAGCGUUAAUCGGAAUUACUGGGCGUAAAGCGCACGCAGGCGGUCUGUCAAGUCGGAUGUGAAAUCCCCGGGCUCAACCUGGGAACUGCAUUCGAAACUGGCAGGCUAGAGUCUUGUAGAGGGGGGUAGAAUUCCAGGUGUAGCGGUGAAAUGCGUAGAGAUCUGGAGGAAUACCGGUGGCGAAGGCGGCCCCCUGGACAAAGACUGACGCUCAGGUGCGAAAGCGUGGGGAGCAAACAGGAUUAGAUACCCUGGUAGUCCACGCUGUAAACGAUGUCGAUUUGGAGGUUGUGCCCUUGAGGCGUGGCUUCCGGAGCUAACGCGUUAAAUCGACCGCCUGGGGAGUACGGCCGCAAGGUUAAAACUCAAAUGAAUUGACGGGGGCCCGCACAAGCGGUGGAGCAUGUGGUUUAAUUCGAUGCAACGCGAAGAACCUUACCUGGUCUUGACAUCCACAGAACUUUCCAGAGAUGGAUUGGUGCCUUCGGGAACUGUGAGACAGGUGCUGCAUGGCUGUCGUCAGCUCGUGUUGUGAAAUGUUGGGUUAAGUCCCGCAACGAGCGCAACCCUUAUCCUUUGUUGCCAGCGGUCCGGCCGGGAACUCAAAGGAGACUGCCAGUGAUAAACUGGAGGAAGGUGGGGAUGACGUCAAGUCAUCAUGGCCCUUACGACCAGGGCUACACACGUGCUACAAUGGCAUAUACAAAGAGAAGCGACCUCGCGAGAGCAAGCGGACCUCAUAAAGUAUGUCGUAGUCCGGAUUGGAGUCUGCAACUCGACUCCAUGAAGUCGGAAUCGCUAGUAAUCGUAGAUCAGAAUGCUACGGUGAAUACGUUCCCGGGCCUUGUACACACCGCCCGUCACACCAUGGGAGUGGGUUGCAAAAGAAGUAGGUAGCUUAACCUUCGGGAGGGCGCUUACCACUUUGUGAUUCAUGACUGGGGUGAAGUCGUAACAAGGUAACCGUAGGGGAACCUGCGGUUGGAUCACCUCCUUA
rnacentral:rRNA from 1 species